AGUGCGCAGAGGGAAUUAUGGGUAAAAUAUUGCUAAAUUUAUUUAGUGUCCAUAUGAAGUGCAAACGGUGAAAGUGCGUCGUAAUUAGUGAAACUUUUUAAUUGAUUAGAAGCAAUGGAUCAAGAUAAAAUCAUUCAUAUCAACGAUCAUCACAACAGGGUACAACUAUAAAGAAGAACGUGUCGAACAAGAGAGACUAUCAUCGACAUAUCGAACAGAUACAACUGUAACAGAAAUUAUAUACCGAGCAGAUGCAACUAUAAAGAGAUACCAUUCUACAUGAAGUGGUUAUAUUGACAUUGUACAUUCAUACAUUGUACAUUACGAUACAUUUAAGAGGAAAGUUCUAGUGUAGAUAAAUAUAUAGAAUUUGAUAAUAUGAAUGAAGUUUUAAACAAGAACUUUAAAACUUUGUAUCCAAAGUUGGAAAAUGCUGUGAACAAUGCAACUUUUAUUGCCAUCGAUGCUGAAUUUACUGGUUUAUAUUCAGAAGAGAAAUUGAAACAUAGCUUUUUCGAUUCGUUCAAUGAUCGUUAUAAAUUAUUAAAGAAAAAUAUUCAACAAUUUAUGAUAAUACAAUUUGGUAUUGCAACUUUCCGUCAUGUUCCUUAUGAAAAUACCUAUAAAGUAGAUUGUUUUAAUUCUUAUUUGUUUCCAAAAUCUAUACCAUUAAAAAAUAGACAUUUAAUAUGGCAAGUGGCAGCAUUAGAGUUCCUUUGUAAACAUAAUUUUGAAUUUAAUAAAUUUUUAAAUGAAGGUAUUUCGUUCUUGGAUGAGACAGAUGAAAAGUUAUUAAAGAAUUAUAUAAAAGGAGGUAGUUUAGCAUAUAAUUUAAAUCAUUUAACAUAUGAAGAGGAAAAUGAGUUCAUAGAUUAUAAAACUAAGAUUUCUGAAUGGAUUGCUAAUAAUAAGAGUGAACAAACAUUAAACAUACAAACUUCUAAUCCUAUAUUACAAUAUUUGAUACAUAAAGAUAUAAGGUACAAUUAUAAAAAUAUUUGGAGUAUAUCGGAUCAUAAAUCAGUAUGUAUUGUAGAAAUAUCACCUGACAUGCAUGAACUUUUAAAAAAGAAUGAUGAAGAAAAUUUGGAGAAAGAAUUGUUAGAUUAUUACAUAGGAUUUUCUAAAGUAUUUAAACUUUUAUCCUCCUCUAAAAAAAUAAUAAUAGGACACAAUAUACUUUUAGAUUUGAUGUUUAUGCAUCAACAAUUUUAUAAACCACUGCCAAAUUCAUAUAAUGAAUUCAAAAACAAUAUACAUGAAUUAUUUCCACAAAUAUAUGAUACAAAAUUUUUAAGUUACGAAGUACGAAAAUUAUUUAGCAAGGAAGAAGUGAGUUGGAAAAUAAGUUCAUUGAGUACUUUAUACGAAUAUUUUACAACUAAAGGAAAGUUAUUAACCUUGAAUUCACCAAAGAUUGUAAUUAAUGAAGAAUCUUCAAUCCCAGAUAUUAUCCUAGAUGAAAAAAAGUAUCAUACUGCUGGAUGGGAUGCUUACUUUGCUGGAUAUAUAUAUAUAAAAAUGGCACACAUAUUUUGUGUAAAUAAAUUUGGAACAGGUUUGGAAGAAAGAAGAGCAACGCAUGCUGAACUAAUAAACAGCAUAAAAAACUUUGUAAAUUGUAUAAAUAUAACAAGAGGCAAUGAAAUGUAUAUGAAAUUUGAUGGUCCAGACCCAAUGUUAUCAAGACCAGAAUGGCUUCAUGUAAAGUUAAAAUCACCAACUGUAGAUAUUAAACAGUUGAUGGAGAAGUUUUCAUCUUUUGGCCAAGUGGAUGUGAUGCCUUUUGCUCAAAGACGUGUUUUGGUAGCUGUAGCAAACCACAAAAGGCAAUGAGCUUAUUUAACAUGAAAUAAAUUUAAACUUCGUUGUCGUCCAGCAUAAAUAUCUUCAUGGCUGGCCGUCAAGCUGACACAAGACACGCUUGCAGAAACUCGUAUUUUACGUUUUGUACUUACAUCAUAAUUCGGGUUAUCAAAACAAUGAGGUGAGAUUAAAGGAAAAGUGCAAAUACGACCAAUCCAUAUAAACGUGUCGCGAUUUCUAUAAAUAUCAAAUGUAGAGAAAGGACAGGUGUUUCAGUAUGAAGCUGCUUCAAAGUAAGGUGCCGGAACAAUUUUGGAUCUUAUCCAAGGGCAACCGCGUAUACUCAUCAUUGCGCUUACAAAGUGAUAUCGAUGCACGUGAUUUUAUAUGACGAUUUUGAAUGCAUAGAUCAAAUGUGAUUCGCUUCGAUGGAAAAUCAACAGCGCGUUACACAUAUUGCGGCAUUUCAAUAGCAGCGAGGAAUUUCAAGUGGCACGGUAUAGUCGCAUAAGGCACGCGACACCCAUCAGCAUCUGUUUGUGGAGCGGAGUCAUCUUGUCCGGAAGCUUAUUUGCCUGGAUGUUGAAAAAAUGCUUUUAAAAAGCUACUUGAAUGCGAAUAUUUAUCUGAAUGCAGUUAUCAUUUGUGAUUGAAUAAUAAUCGUGUAAAUUAUAAUAAUUAUUAACUAAGGUAAUUAAGGUUUAUUUAGCAAUUAAUAAUUGUAAGAAAAUAAUAUUUUACAAUAUUGUAUUGCCAACGAAAUCACAGAUAAAUAGUUAAUUCGAGCUAAAUAGUUUUAUUAAGUUCAUUGAAUCGUCAUGGUUUUUCUUACAAGGAAAAAACGAGGAGAAGAAAGAUGAAAAAUGAGAGAGAGGUAAGAAAGUGAAGUGUGUGGUUCGACUUCCGUCCGACUACUCGGCCCAGGAAGAAUGUCUUCGUCUUUGUCUUCCUUUCUUACGCUCGUUUCGCGAACACCGGCCGCAGAAUCUAUUUAAAUAUUAGAUUGAAAUCGCGAGUGGAAUCUUUGCGUGAGCUGUUAUUAUUAUUUCUCGUUCUGGUUUGUCGACGUUCCGGGCCAGAGCUCGUUUUCGUCAAGGAAUCUAUCCACCGUGGUGCCAAACCUGUGCGUUUGAGUUUUUCAAACUCGUGAAAAAUCCAAAUGAUUCUCUCCAAUCUGUCCAUCGAUCGACACGCAUCUUUGCAUCUAUUGUAUCUUUUAUCUUAUAUUUUGUUUUAUUUAUUAUACGCAGGCACAUAGUUUUGACUUUUAUCAAAAUACGUCUUUUACGUUACAUCUUCUACAAGUAAUUUUCCUCGGACACGUAAUAAAAAUUCAUAAGAUUCUUAGAAGAUUGAAAAUUUAUAUAAAUAAUUGUAUACAACAAUAACGUAUUAAAAACAAAACAAGGAACAAGUAAUAAUACGUGACAGAUUGUAUCAUAAAUUUAUUAGCAAUCUUGGCAGAAACGUUGGGACAGUCAUGCUCAAAAACGAUUCAAAUAAUAUUUUUCAUUGUGAACAAUUGUUAAAAAUAUGAUAAACAUUGUAAAAUCUUGAAGAAGAUAUUCCUUUAUUAAUCAUGUCACCGUUGAUGGAUUCAACGAAUAUAACGAUUUCAAAUUCCUA